rnacentral:rRNA from 1 species
CCUGAGUACGACGGAGCACGUGAAAUUCCGUCGGAAUCUGGGAGGACCAUCUCCUAAGGCUAAAUACUCUCUAGUGACCGAUAGUGAACCAGUACCGUGAGGGAAAGGUGAAAAGUACCCCGGAAGGGGAGUGAAAGAGAACUUGAAACCGUGUGCUUACAAGUAGUCAGAGCCCGUUAAUGGGUGAUGGCGUGCCUUUUGUAGAAUGAACCGGCGAGUUACGAUCUGAUGCAAGGUUAAGCAGAAAAUGUGGAGCCGUAGCGAAAGCGAGUCUGAAUAGGGCGAAUGAGUAUUUGGUCGUAGACCCGAAACCAGGUGAUCUACCCUUGGUCAGGUUGAAGUUCAGGUAACACUGAAUGGAGGACCGAACCGACUUACGUUGAAAAGUGAGCGGAUGAACUGAGGGUAGCGGAGAAAUUCCAAUCGAACUUGGAGAUAGCUGGUUCUCUCCGAAAUAGCUUUAGGGCUAGCCUCAAGUGAUGAUUAUUGGAGGUAGAGCACUGUUUGGACGAGGGGCCCCUCUCGGGUUACCGAAUUCAGACAAACUCCGAAUGCCAAAUAAUUUAACUUGGGAGUCAGAAUGUGGGUGAUAAGGUCCAUAUUCGAAAGGGAAACAGCCCAGACCACCAGCUAAGGUCCCAAAAUAUAUGUUAAGUGGAAAAGGAUGUGGCGUUGCCCAGACAACUAGGAUGUUGGCUUAGAAGCAGCCAUCAUUUAAAGAGUGCGUAAUAGCUCACUAGUCGAGUGACACUGCGCCGAAAAUGUACCGGGGCUAAACAUAUUACCGAAGCUGUGGAUUGUCCUUUGGACAAUGGUAGGAGAGCGUUCUAAGGGCGUUGAAGCAUGAUCGCAAGGACAUGUGGAGCGCUUAGAAGUGAGAAUGCCGGUGUGAGUAGCGAAAGACGGGUGAGAAUCCCGUCCACCGAUUGACUAAGGUUUCCAGAGGAAGGCUCGUCCGCUCUGGGUUAGUCGGGUCCUAAGCUGAGGCCGACAGGCGUAGGCGAUGGAUAACAGGUUGAUAUUCCUGUACCACCAUUAUUCGUUUUAAGCGAUGGGGGGACGCAGUAGGAUAGGCGAAGCGUGCUGUUGGAGUGCACGUCCAAGCAGUGAGAUUGAGUGUUAGGCAAAUCCGGCACUCUUAAGAUUGAGCUGUGAUGGGGAGAGGAACUUGUUCCUCGAGUCGUUGAUUUCACACUGCCGAGAAAAGCCUCUAGCUAGAAUAACGGUGCCCGUACCGCAAACCGACACAGGUAGUCAAGAUGAGAAUUCUAAGGUGAGC